UACGAGGGGGGCAAGCGUUGUUCGGAAUUAUUGGGCGUAAAGGGCGCGUAGGCGGUGCGGUAAGUCACCUGUGAAAACUCUGGGCUCAACUCAGAGCCUGCAGGCGAAACUGCCGUGCUUGAGUGUGGGAGAGGUGCGUGGAAUUCCCCGGUGUAGCGGUGAAAUGCGUAGAUAUCGGGAGGAACACCUGUGGCGAAAGCGGCGCACUGGACCACAACUGACGCUGAGGCGCGAAAGCUAGGGGAGCAAACAGG
rnacentral:rRNA from 1 species